UACGUAGGGUGCGAGCGUUGUCCGGAAUUAUUGGGCGUAAAGAGCUCGUAGGCGGUUUGUCGCGUCUGCUGUGAAAACCCGAGGCUCAACCUCGGGCCUGCAGUGGGUACGGGGCAGACUAGAGUGCGGUAGGGGGAGAUUGGAAUUCCUGGUGUAGCGGUGGAAUGCGCAGAUAUCAGGAGGAACACCGAUAGCGAAGGCAGAUCUCUGGGCCGUAACUGACGCUGAGGAGCGAAAGCAUGGGUAGCGAACAGG
rnacentral:rRNA from 1 species